AUUUGCUCUUGCAGCUGCAGGAAGUUGAGCAGCUCUGCCCACAAGUGUGCCACAAAAAUUCACCCAGAACAAGAUAAGAACCAGAGAGUACUGGGACCCAUUACUGGCUCUUUUUGGAUCCAGAGAGCGUGAAACAUCUCUCAGAAGAGUAACAGAGUCAAGCUGAAGUUAGCGGGUCUACUUCACUUCCCUGGAUUACAAACAGAUUUAUUCCAGCUAUUAUAAUGAUGGUAGGAAAAUACAGUACGCCAUUACAAGCAAAAGGAAAUAAAACAUUUUGAACAAGAUGCUACAAAUUUUAGCAACCAGCCUUCAAUUCCUACUGUAAUGAAUACACUGUGUGACAUUAAGCGUCAUUUAAAAGCAUGAGUUUGCAUACUGUAUCCGAAGGUGCAGAUGCACCUGGAACAGCAGCACAAAGUCAUAGUCAGUUAUCUGCGAUGCCUUUUGGCUCUUCAGCUGCUAGAUUCAAAAUCCGCUCUGCUAAAACACUUACUACCAAGGACCUCAGGAAGAAAAGCUUUUUUUUUGAGGGAGGAAAAGUUGAAGACUCAAGCCAGAAAAGUGAUCCCGGUAAGGACC